UACUCAGCAUAGAUAACAAGGUUAAAAGAGCUUCCUAUCUCAUGACCCCAUUGAUUUUCCACCCCUUUAAGCCUAAAUUGAAUCAAUUAUAGUGUGCUAUCUUCACUUUGGAAGUUCUUUUCUUGAAUUGAAUCUCUAAAUUUGCAUUGGUCAAGGGAAAUAAAAAUAUAAAUACAUGCAAAUAAAAAGUUAGUGUAACUCCCUAUGAGGUGAUUUGCCCAAACUGUCAUGAAAAGAAAAAGAAAAAGAAAAACCAGCACAAAAGCACAAAUCAUAAAACCUGUUCCUAUGGCCAAAUAAGCUAUGAACAGAGCUAGUAGCCACUUGAACAAGUGACUAACUGAGUAAC
rnacentral:lncRNA from 1 species